rnacentral:rRNA from 1 species
CAGCAGCCGCGGGAAUACGGAGGGUGCAAGCGUUAAUCGGAAUUACUGGGCGUAAAGCGCACGCAGGCGGUCUGUCAAGUCAGAUGUGAAAUCCCCGGGCUUAACCUGGGAACUGCAUUUGAAACUGGCAGGCUAGAGUCUUGUAGAGGGGGGUAGAAUUCCAGGUGUAGCGGUGAAAUGCGUAGAGAUCUGGAGGAAUACCGAUGGCGAAGGCAGCCAUCUGGCCUAAUACUGACGCUGAGGUACGAAAGCAUGGGGAGCAAACAGGAUUAGAUACCCCGGUAGUCCCUGUCUCUUAUAC